UACGUAGGUGGCAAGCGUUAUCCGGAAUUAUUGGGCGUAAAGAGCGCGCAGGUGGUUGAUUAAGUCUGAUGUGAAAGCCCACGGCUUAACCGUGGAGGGUCAUUGGAAACUGGUCGACUUGAGUGCAGAAGAGGGAAGUGGAAUUCCAUGUGUAGUGGUGAAAUGCGUAGAGAUAUGGAGGAACACCAGUGGCGAAGGCGGCUCUCUGGCCUGUUACUGACGCUGAGGCGCGAAAGCGUGGGUAGCGAACGGGAUUAGAUACU
rnacentral:rRNA from 1 species